GUCAAAAUGACUUUUAUUAUUUUUAAUACAAAUACAUUUUUAAAAAAUACAGCAUUUCAAAAGAGUAUUCUUCACACACUUUUUUUAAUGAAUGUGAGAUGAUAAAUAACAGGGCAUUUGAAGUUGUUUGGUUCCACUUAAAGCUUAUUCCCAUUAAGACUCUUACAACAGAAGUGAUGCGUCCUAAGGACACUUACUUUCACAGAGUAAACCAACCUACUGACAAACAUCUUUCUUCUCUUUUCACACAUCUUAUAAACACAAUUCUUCUUUGCUGAAAAAUGAAGAGCUGGGUUAGAAAGUGAGUAAUUCAGCACACAGGAUUACCCAGGAAGUAGAGGUGGAGGUGAUGGUGAUACUGGGGCAGUGCACAAUGCAUAUGUUCUUUCAAUUUCUCUUAAAUAAUGUCUUCUUGGCAAGAAACUAUGUUAUGGAGGGUAAAUGGAGUGGACAAAUGUUUUAAGAUAUAAUUACUCACCAUUGUUAAUAAAUAAGAUAGAAGUCUACUCUUUUUCUUAACAUUUGCUACAGUACAAUAAUAGCUCCUCAAGGCAAAAGCAGAGACAGCCAACAGGGAGAUACAGCUGACAAAGCACUAUUACCGCAUCCAUUAUGGUAAUGUAUAACUCAAAUAACACAGUUUUAUAGUUCUAUAAAGAGAAAAAAAGAGAGAAUGUCUGCCAGUUGGGCUCGUGUGAAGUGGACUCCAAGGAAAUUAAUGUGCGGGAGAAAUACCGGGGUGCUCGCCAGAUGACCUGUGGAAGAGAAGACAAGGCAUCAGGAUUGGACAGAGAAAGACGUCAAGCUCCAAUGUAGUCAUAGUAAAUGGGAUGAUGCUUCAGAAAUCUCCCCAGUGGGAACAAGAAAAUUAGAUGCAGGUCACCCUGAGAGGGAGGUCUGGUAUUUGGUAGAGUGGUUCCCUUUGGCUCAAGGAAUCUCCAAGGGGGCUGACAACUGAGCUGUCUGCUGGCAGCACUGGCAGCAGCUGGGGAAAUAAACUCUUCAUUUCCGAAAAAGGAGCAAGAAUGGAAUAUGCUUUUGUAUUGGAAAAGCAUUUCAAUUUUUUUCUGUCAUCUGUUUCUCCUCUCUCUGCCUGUUCC
rnacentral:lncRNA from 10 species